rnacentral:rRNA from 1 species
AGAGUUUGAUCAUGGCUCAGAAUCAACGCUGGCGGCGUGCCUAACACAUGCAAGUCGCACGAGAAAGGGUAGCAAUACCUGAGUAAAGUGGCGCACGGGUGAGUAACACGUGAAUUAUCUACCUCCGAGUGGGGAAUAACUGAGAGAAAUCUUAGCUAAUACCGCAUAACACUUACGAGUCAAAGCAGCAAUGCGCUUGGAGAGGAGUUCGCGGCCGAUUAGUUAGUUGGCGGGGUAAUGGCCCACCAAGACGAUGAUCGGUAUCCGGCCUGAGAGGGCGCACGGACACACUGGAACUGAAACACGGUCCAGACUCCUACGGGAGGCAGCAGUGGGGAAUUUUGCGCAAUGGGGGAAACCCUGACGCAGCAACGCCGCGUGGAGGAUGAAAUAUCUUGGUAUGUAAACUCCUUUCGAUGGGGAAGAUUAUGACGGUACCCAUAGAAGAAGCCCCGGCUAACUUCGUGCCAGCAGCCGCGGUAAUACGAGGGGGGCAAGCGUUGUUCGGAUUUAUUGGGCGUAAAGGGUGCGUAGGCGGUUUGGCAAGUCUUGUGUGAAAUCUUCGGGCUCAACCCGAAGUCUGCAUAAGAAACUGCCGGGCUUGAGUAUGGGAGAGGUGAGUGGAAUUUCCGGUGUAGCGGUGAAAUGCGUAGAUAUCGGAAGGAACACCUGUGGCGAAAGCGGCUCACUGGACCAUAACUGACGCUGAUGCACGAAAGCUAGGGGAGCAAACAGGAUUAGAUACCCUAGUAGUCC